AUUGAACGCUGGCGGCAUGCCUUACACAUGCAAGUCGAACGGCAGCACGGAGCUUGCUCUGGUGGCGAGUGGCGAACGGGUGAGUAAUAUAUCGGAACGUACCCAAGAGUGGGGGAUAACGUAGCGAAAGUUACGCUAAUACCGCAUACGAUCUAAGGAUGAAAGCAGGGGACCGCAAGGCCUUGUGCUCCUGGAGCGGCCGAUAUCUGAUUAGCUAGUUGGUGAGGUAAAGGCUCACCAAGGCAUCGAUCAGUAGCUGGUCUGAGAGGACGACCAGCCACACUGGAACUGAGACACGGUCCAGACUCCUACGGGAGGCAGCAGUGGGGAAUUUUGGACAAUGGGGGCAACCCUGAUCCAGCAAUGCCGCGUGAGUGAAGAAGGCCUUCGGGUUGUAAAGCUCUUUUGUCAGGGAAGAAACGGUCGUGGCUAAUAUCCAUGGCUAAUGACGGUACCUGAAGAAUAAGCACCGGCUAACUACGUGCCAGCCGCCGCAGUAA
rnacentral:rRNA from 1 species